ensembl:snoRNA SNORD115 Small nucleolar RNA SNORD115
GGGUCGAUGAUGAUACCUCAUACUGUCUCGAAGAGAGAUGAUGACUUAAAAAUCAUGCUCAAUAGGAUUACGCUGAGGCCC